rnacentral:rRNA from 1 species
AGAGGGUGCGAGCGUUAAUCGGAAUUACUGGGCGUAAAGCGAGUGUAGGUGGCUCAUUAAGUCACAUGUGAAAUCCCCGGGCUUAACCUGGGAACUGCAUGUGAUACUGGUGGUGCUAGAAUAUGUGAGAGGGAAGUAGAAUUCCAGGUGUAGCGGUGAAAUGCGUAGAGAUCUGGAGGAAUACCGAUGGCGAAGGCAGCUUCCUGGCAUAAUAUUGACACUGAGAUUCGAAAGCAUGGGUAGCGAACAGGAUUAGAUACCCUGGUAGUCCAUGCCGUAAACGAUGAAUGCUAGGUGUUGGAGGGUUUCCGCCCUUCAGUGCCGCAGCUAACGCAUUAAGCAUUCCGCCUGGGGAGUACGACCGCAAGGUUG